rnacentral:rRNA from 1 species
UACGUAGGGCGCAAGCGUUAUCCGGAAUUAUUGGGCGUAAAGAGCUCGUAGGCGGUUGUCGCGUCUGCCGUGAAAGUCCGGGCUCAACUCCGGAUCUGCGGUGGUACGGCAGACUAGAGUGAUGUAGGGGAGACUGAAUUCCUGGUGUAGCGGUGAAAUGCGCAGAUAUCGGAGGAACACAAUUGCGAAGGCAGCUCGCUGGACGUUACGUGACGCUGAGACGCGAAAGCGUGGGAGCAACAGGGA